rfam:Streptomyces scabrisporus strain NF3 contig1, whole genome shotgun sequence.
UGAUACCCCCACUACCUAGGACCGUCCGGCACGUUCCUGCCGGGUGAGGGGCGCGACU